rnacentral:rRNA from 1 species
UACGAAGGGGGCUAGCGUUGCUCGGAAUCACUGGGCGUAAAGCGCACGUAGGCGGAUUGUUAAGUCAGGGGUGAAAUCCUGGAGCUCAACUCCAGAACUGCCUUGAUACUGGCGAUCUCGAGUCCGGGAGAGGUGAGUGGAACUGCGAGUGUAGAGGUGAAAUUCGUAGAUAUUCGCAAGAACACCAGUGGCGAAGGCGGCUCACUGGCCCGGACUGACGCUGAGGUGCGAAAGCGUGGGAGCAACAGGAUAG